UUCGAUGUGGAGUAUCCUUGCGAUAUUCAUGACUUUGUAAUUGUAACACCCCAAACCUGGCUUAUACGUUAUGGCCGAAUCCAGAGAUGUUACAAGGUAGGGUUUUGAAAAUAGAAUCAUUUCAUCAAGUCAUUCAAGUUUCAUAAUUCAUAUAUGUUUAUAACUAUUUUCGAGAGUGUUAUUCAAUUUAUUUAUUUAUCAAAACAUAAUUUACAGCGGACCCUUAAAACCGUUAUAUUUUAGAAAUUUAGUUCAUUUUUGGGAAAACCUUUAUUUUCGCAAAACGGGAUUUUCCAUCAUGCAUCACAAUGAAAGAGUAAAUAAUAAACUCCAACAGUCCGGAUAAUCCUAAAAAUUACAAACUCACAAAUGAAGCCAGAAUUAUAAAUAAAUAAGAAAAACGUAAUUUACUAAGUAAAAUAGUUCUCAAUCAAGUGGUCACUGUUAAGCCUCCAUCACACCGAUCCGUCUAAGUCUGUCAAUUACCUGAACAAAACAGACAAAUAGAUGUGAGUUUUCGUAAACUCAGUGUGUAACCUAACAGAAAUAGACAUGCAAUACAUACAGUGAACUCAUACAUAGUCAGAUACAGAUUCAGGUUCGGACCUGAGCCCUUUACAGAUUCAGAUAACAGAAUAGAUAUGUAGAUUGGAAAUACAGAAUCCUACCUCCAUCCUCUACACACAAAAUCUGAUCAUCCCAUCACACCAUAUAAGGUUAAAAACACCCACUCAUCCCUACACACCAUAUCGUGCCAUUACAACACAUGUCAGAUAAUAUACAGCCAAGCUGCCAGAAUAUAGGCGAAAGUCGCCAUAUAGAUCACUUCCUCCAUGUAUACAAUCUCACUCCAAAUACAGAUACAGAAUACAGAUAUAGCAAAUAAACAUGCUUAUCAUGCUUGUGUAUAAAUAUCAGAUAUACUUAUAGCAGAAUAAUCAGACAUGCAUAACAGUGUCCUACUCAGAGCAUACUAUCAGAAUAACAGAUCACAUAAUCUAGGGUUUGGUUAGCCCUUACCGAACUUACGGUAGGCCUACAGUCGAUCGGAACGACCCGUGCGAUCCUAGGGAAAAUUUCAAAAUUUUUGGCCUAUAUGCCCGUGUGGGCCCACACGCUCAGAGCGGCCUUGCCCGUGAAACCCACAUGGCCUAGCCCAAAAAUCCACACGCCCGUGUGCCCUACACGAUUAAUCUUGGCCUAGCCCGUGUGGCCCACAUGGCCACACCCACAACAUCACACGGCCAUGUCUCGUGCAUGGCUGCACCUUUGUCAGACACAUGGUCGUGUCUUGCACAUGGCCAUCCACACGGCUGGCCACACGCCCAUGUGACGUCAACAGUAAGCAUUUUUGGCAUUCACUAAAACUCGAUUUUUCAUGUUUUGGGGACACACCUGGUACGGUUUGGAUGCAAAAACAAUCUCAAGCCCUUUGAAACCUAAAAAUAGUGUAAUGCCCCCGUACCCGAGACCAUCGCCGGAGUCGAGCACGAGGUGUUAACGGACUUAAUUCAUUAAUUAAACAGCUCAAACAAUUUAUUUUUAAAAUUUCCAGACAAGCUGUCUAACUGUAUCACAUUCGCUUAAAAAUUCAUAUCUCGAGUUCCAAAACUCGAAAUUAAGAUCCGUAAAUUUUUCCUGAAACUAGACUCAUAUAUCUAUCUACUAAUUUUUUUAUAGAAUUUUUGGUCAGGCCAAUAGUACAUUUUAUUAGUUAAAGUCUCCCCUGUUUCAGGGUUCGGCUACUCUGACCCCUGUGUAUUACAGAUCAGAUAUAUCCCUGUCUAUAGUUUCAAUGACUAUGCUAUUUAUUUAUCAUAAAACUAGACUCGAUAAGGAUUUCAUACAUGUAAGUUAAAACUCCUAAUUGUUCUUGUACAAUUUAUGGUGAAUUUUUAAAUUUAGAACAGGGGAUUCAGAAAUUACUCUGACCCUGUUUCAGAAAACGUAAAUACUUCAUAAAAUGCAACUCUUUUACAUAUUUUGUUUCUUCCACAUGAAAAUAAGUUCAUUUAGAUUCAAUUCAAUAUUUUAUUCAUCAUCUAAUUCUAUCUAUACUAUUUUUAGUGAUUUUUUAAACUCAUGUCACUGCUGCUGUGUGAUUCUAUUUUAUAGCCAAUUUCACCAUUUUAUGGAUUUCCAUAGAUUAGUUAGCACAUAAAGCAUACAUGUUAUCAAAUAUAAUCUCGAUUAGCCACUCCAAUAGUUAAUCAUUCUCAAACAUUUUCAUGCCAUCCAUGAGCUAUAUCAUAAGAUUAUAUACACAAAAGGAUUAUAAUGCUAUACAUGCCAUAUUCUCAAAAUAUGCAAGCCACCAUACCGAGAUGGUCCGUCGAUAGUGUGAGCGUGCCUUCGACCGUCCUGAUCUCCAAACCGGCUUGUCAAAACUACAAGGAAUGGAAGGGAAGGAGUAAGCAUAAAUGCUUAGUAAGUUUACAUGCAAAUAACAAAUAACUUAACAAAGCAAUUAUACCAAGCAACAUUAGCAUAAUAUCACCAAUACAUAUUUCACAUUUCUAUUCAUCAUUCAUCGUCUUACUACAUUAUUGUUGUCGUAUCAAGUCUCAACCCGAGGGUUAAGUACAUACCUGUCCAAAGUGCCCAUUCCACAACACUUACCAAUACGUCACUUGCAUCUUAAGUAUUCUUCCAUUUCACUAGAAUUUUACCCGUUGAACAUAUCGGAAUAUAACUCAGAUACAUGGAAAGUUUGCACAUAAGUGCCACAUAUGUAGCCAAGCUACCAUGUAACCCACCCAUAAGGCAACUCGGACUCAACUCAAUGAGCUCGGGCGUUCGCAUCCAUAAGUGAACUCGGACUCAACUCAACGAGCUCGGAUGCCUAGUUACAUCUCACGAACUCGGACUCAACUCAAAGAGUUCGGACGUUCGCAUCCAUAAGUUAACUCGGACUCAACUCAACGAGUUCGGAUGUUCGCAUCCAUAAGUGAACUCGGACUCAACUCAACGAGUUCGAAUACCUAAAUAUCCGAAUCUAUUCCUAAGGUUCAACGAGACUUUCCUCGUUCGUACUCCUUUACCAUUCUCCUUGGAAUACCAAUAACGAUACUUCGGUAGUCCUUCACAUUUUUCACAUAAUUCAUAAAAUUUUUGCAUGUUGUCCAACAAUAACCACAAAGCAUAGAAUUGCAUGAUAACAAUCAUAAUAUCGUAUAAAUAGCAUUAAAUGAUUUAAAAUAAUGAUUAUAUUACAAUAUUUACAUAUGACUUACCUUGUAUGCGAAAAUGGUCAUUUUUACCAUUUUGUCUACAACUUGGUAUUUUGCUGAUUUUAGCCCGAAUUUCGAUUUUCCUUGCUCUAUCAUUUCAAAUAUAGCCUAAUUAUGACUCAUAUUAUUCAAAUCAACCCAAAAUCAUAUUUUGGAAAAAUUAUAAUUUUACCCCUAAACUUUCACAUAUUUACACUUUGCCCCAAAUCUCGUAAAUUAAACUUCAUCCUAUUUUCUUAUGUUUUAUGAUAUGCUGAUCAUUUUUCCCUUCUACAGAAACAUCCAAUUCUCACUCUAACAUGUACUUAUGAACAUUAGGUAUUUUUACCGAUUAUGUCAUUUUAGUCGUUUUUACGUAAAAUCACUUAGCAAAAGUUGUUUAACACAAUCUCAAGCUUUAUAUUCUACCAUAAAACAUCAAAAUUCAUGCAUAUCAUUCAUGGGUAAAUUUUUAAAUAUAAACCCUAGCUCAAAAUAUUGGUAGAAAUAGGUAAACCGAGCUACGGGGAUUUUAAAAAUGUAAAGAACUUUAAAAACGGGCAUAGAAAUCACUUACAAUCAAGGCUUAAAAGUGUUGAAACCCUAGCUAUGGUGGAGAGAAAAAUUUGGCAGCAAAUUAUGGAGAAGAUGAUCAUUUUUGUGUUAUUUUUCCAUUUUAUUUCAUUUAAUAUUCAAAUGACCAAAAUGCCCUUCUUUAUUAAACUUUCAAAAAUUCCAUCCAUGUCCAAUUUUCCAUAAACAUAGAAAUUGGUCAAAUUUCUAUUUAAGACCUCCUAAUUAAUAUUUCAAAGCAAUUUCAUACUAGAAACUUCUAGAAUGCAAGUUUUGUAACUUAUUCAAUUUAGUCCCUAACUUCAAAUUAAGCACUUUAUGCGUAGAAUUUCGUUACGAAAUUUUCACACAAUCAUGCAAUCAUAUCAUAGACCUCAAAAUAAUCAUAAAAUAAUUAUUUUUAUCUCAGAAUUGUGGUCCCGAAACCACUAUUCCAAUUAGGCCUAAUUCGAGAUAUCACAAACAGAGUACCCAACACCGAUUUAAUAGAUUGAUUAAUGAAUGCAACAUAAGAAUCAACAUGGAACUGACUUACCACCAAUGAAAAACCACCCCUAACGCGUAUUAAACAGUUGAAGUGCAAUUCUCUGCUCCACAAUCUACUCCUAAACACGAAUUACCACUAAUCAAUCACUACAGAAUGUUAUCGCUAAAAUCCCAAAAGUUAACGACAACAGUGUUCUACUUACCAAACCAAAAGGAGAACCUGACAAUUCCAAUAGCACGAUCGAACAACGGAUUCACGAGUCGAAUCGAAAGAGAAAUAAAAUAGAGGGAUGCCAGAAAAAGAGAAGAAAAUGUCAAGAAGGGGAAAAACAAAAGAAAUUAGACGUUAGAUUUCUUUAGAGGAGAGAGAAAUUUUUAGCAAAAAGAAAUAAAAAUAAGAGAUAUCCCACAUAUCUCUUAUUUUACUUCCACUAACCCACUACUCAUAACUCUCUCAAAAUUUUAGCUCUACCGAAACUCUAUUAAACAACCAAGCAAAAAUUAACAUCCAUACUUGCAAAGAGAUUCAAACACAGAACCUCCAACACACUAACUCACCACUCGAACAAGCUGGCUUAUUCUAAAAUGAAUUAACAAAAAAUUCUAUGUAAGCCCACUCCACAAGGGUAAAGGCUUGAACCAAAAAUAACAAAAAUUAUCAAAAGUGAAACUUGAACCUAAGACCUCAAACACACACUCAAAACUCUUAGCCACUAAAGCAAAUAUAUAUUCAUGUCAAAUAUUUACAAAAAUAGAAAUAAAUUAUUUAAGGCAUUACAGUAAUUGGUGAUUCUUCUUAAUACGGUGUAGUGAUUUUUUCGAGCCAAUUUUAUAUAAAAAAAAUUUUUCCAACACAUACGCAUCUAAUAAAAAUUUUAAGUUAUUUAAAAGAAUUAAAAUUAUAUUUUUAUUUAAAUAUCAUAUUACUAGUUAUAUACUCAUCCUAAUCACCAAUUCUUAUUUAUAAGCUAAAAGUGUCCACGAUUAGGCUAAGGGCUUCUAUACAUUAAACAUAGUAACAUAUUAAAUUUUAUUGUAUAAAAAAUAUUAAAUUUUAAUCUAAUUUGAGCUAUACAAAAUAUCAAAUUAUUAAUUUGAUAUUUUAAUAAUAAAUAUAAAAUAAAUAAAAUUGAAUAAUUAUAUAAAAUAUUCAACAAAAUUUUUUAAAAAAAAACCCCGCGAUACGUGGGCGAAGUUGCUGUGGUGGAAAUGAAAGUGAUUUAAGACCACUAGAAAAACAAUAAAUGUGGGAUUCAUCCUUUUUCCUCGAUAACUACUACAAUCUCAAUGCUUAUAUAAAUGUAUCUUAAUUAUUCCAUUGCAUCAAAAACUCUCAAUCUCUCUCUCACACACAUAUUCACACUUUUAAUAAUAUUUAAAAUGGAGAAAUCUUCUCGUUUGGUGUCAUCUUUAGUCCUUCUUAUGUUGAUUCUCCUAGCAACAGGUUUCUCUUUAAUUUUUUUUUUCAAAUUCUUGUUAAUUUAUUAUUUAAUUCGCUACAAAUUCAAAAUUUUUCAUACAAAAUAUUUGUAUUUAACAUGCUCAGAUGACCAUAAACUUAAGCAUGUCAACUCUUAAAUUAUAUAUAUACAUAUAAAUUUGAUAUUCACUCUUCGACAAAAUAGUAACCGGUGACAAUUAGUAUGAAGUUACCACAUUAACUAUAUAAGUUGGCUAUGGCCCAUUUUUCUUUGAGUAGUUUUAUUAUUAAUUCUUUAUUUAAUAUAUGUGCAUAUAUUAAAGCUAACCAUCCCAUAUGCUUAAAUAUAUUUUUUAUUUAUUUGACAUUCACUCUUAUAAUACUUAUGCAUCAUUAUGAAAUAAAACAGAGGUGGGACCUAUGGCAGUGGAAGGUAGAACAUGCGAGACUAAAAGUAGUGAAUACAAGGGGAUAUGCUUAUUUGAUGCUAAUUGUGAUAGUAUUUGCAAAGUAGAGCCGGGUUUCGAUGGUGGGCAUUGCCAUGGCUUUUUUCGCAGAUGCUACUGCACUAAACCUUGUUAAACAAGCAAUCUAUUAGGAUUUCUUUAUACUUAAAAAAUUUGCUUUAUUUACUCUUGUUAUGUGUGUGCUUGAGAGUUGAGAGAAUAAGAUCAACAACAUAUUGGUGUACAUUGAAUUCUAUUACUAUUGAAUAUAUCUAUAAUUUUUAUGUUCCAUAUGAAUUAACUUCUAAAUUAAUUCUCUUUAAUUCUAAUCUUUCUAUUUCUUCUUGGACUAUUUGUUUUAAAAUGUAUAUAAGUAAGACUAUAUGCUUGAAUUUGAGACUUACUUAUGAACCAUGCCAAAUUUGAUGAAAUUUAUAUAAUAAUUUUUUUUAUAUUGAAUUUCAUGGUAUGUGAUAAGCUAGUUAAUUACGUAUCUUUAAAAGACAAAACAAGCCACUACCUUCUUUUCAAUCGGUAAAAUUACAAUAAUUCAUUAUUGCAUAUUGAUAGAGUAUCACUGAUAGAGUAGUUGUAUAUUGGUAGUUGUGGUUUGUUAUCCAAGUGGUUAGUCUGUUACUCAGAGCAGUUACUAAGCUCUCUUCUAUAAAUAACAAUCUUGAUGGCAGUGGUUAGACUACCUUCUUGAUGUACAAAAGCAAUUCAAGGUUAGUUCAUUCAUAAAGUGUUUAGUCUAGUUUACCUUCUAUCAUGGUAUCAAUCGCCUAAGAUCUUGGUGGUCGCUUCCGCUCCGUGUUCAUGGAUCCGUUGGUUGAUCAGCCUACUGGUGCUUAGCUUCCUACUUCUGCUUCGCACUCUCGCCUGGUCUAUAGCUUCCCUCGUCAUGAGAUUGCUAAGCUAGAUGAGUCUAAUUUCGUCCAGUGGCAGCAUCAAGUCCGACUUAUUGUUGAUGGCUACGGUCUUCAAGGGUUCUUGGAUGGCUCAGUCACUGAAUUGCCGAAGGUGGUGGCCACAAACGAUGGUUGUCUUGCUCCAAAUCCAGAUGUGGUUUGGUUCACGCAGCAGGAUAAGCUGCUUGCCUCGUGGCUUCUAUCCACGGUGAGCUCGUCUCUUCUCUCUUAUUUCAUUUCGACUAAAUCUGCUUGUGAUAUUUGGAGUGUAGCAAGUCACCUCUUCGUCGCAACCUCAGUUGAGAAAGUUUCUCAGAUCCGUCAUGAUUUACACGCGGUUCGGAAGGGCAGAUCUACCGUCAAAGAAUAUGCGUCCAAAAUCAACACUCUUUGUGCCUUGCUUGUGGCGUCGGGAUCGGCCGUUUCAGAGGCGGAGAAGGUGGAAGUUCUUCUCGGAGGUCUCACCUCUGAUUUUGAUUCGGUCUUUAUGGUGGUUUCGGCCUCGUCGGAGCCCUUGACCUUUUCGAAAUUGGUGGACAUUCUUAUGGCCUUCGAGCGUCGCCAGUCCCGGGUAGUGCGUGAUGUGCCGUUGGUUGCACAUAUGGCUCAGGUUCCUAGUGCAGUGCCUGAUUAUGAUUCGCGUGGUGCUCGUGGUGGUCGGAUGCCGACUGGGUCGCGUGGUGGCUGAGCUUUUCGUUCGUGGGUGCAGUGUCAGAUUUGCAAUCGGUUUGGGCAUGUUGCCCAGCGGUGCUAUUAUCGCUUUGAUCGCGACUAUGAUGGACUAUCGGAGGCCGGUGCUACUGGUGGUGGUAAACCCGUCCGUCUGCAUCCUCUUGCACAACGACUUGAAGGAGGGCAGUGGGUUUGGCAACAGAACCCGAUUGCUGGUGAUAAUGGUCAGCCCAAUUGGGCUUCAUACUCUAUUGGACCGACUAGUGGGUUUUAUGCGCCUAGGCCGUCUGUGUAUGACCAUGUUAGCAGACCACCCGUAGCAAAAAGGAUGCAUCCGGAUUUGGGCUUGCAUUAAGGGCGUGAUUUUUUUGAUUGACAUGGGCCGAAUGGUGCAGGCCGAAUAUUUAAGCCAGCUGGGCCUAGUGGUCCAUCUUCAGCUCCUCGGGCUCCCUAUGUGUCUCAGCAGUCCCCUGGGUCUCCGGUUGUGCACUGUGUUGGUGUUAAUGGCUCCGUUCCGAAUGCUCCUCCUGAGGCUCCGUGGCGUACAAAACCUCGUGCUCUAGUUUUUGAUGUUGAUAAUUCUCAGCGUAUUGGCUUGCCUCGAAUACCGGACUUUUAUGCUUCUGAUUUUUCCGAUCCGUCUCGAUACGAUUCUAGCUAUGGUAGUGUUGACCCGUAUGGUACUACGCCUACUGGAACUCCUUCGUGGUACUCGGAUUCUGGAGCGUCCAAUCAUGUUUGUUAGAGUACUGCAGACUUGAAUGCUUCAACACUGUAUUCAGGUACAUCUAACCUUUUAAUGGGUAAUGGGGCUCCUACCAAAAUUUUAUCUAUUGGGG
rnacentral:lncRNA from 1 species